rnacentral:misc_RNA from 1 species
CUAUCUCUUGGGGGCCUUUUCCUAGUUAGGGAUGUAGGGUAAAGGACCAAUAGAGUCGCAUAAGAGAUCGUGGCGUUCGUCAACAUCAUCAACGUUGGUCGAUGCGGAAUAUGUUGACUAUUUACAACAGUUACUCAUGGCUCUGUGU